rnacentral:tRNA from 2 species
GCCCAGAUAGCUCAGCCUGGGAGAGCGCCGCGCUGAAGACGCGGAUGUCCCCGGUUCAAGUCCGGGUCUGGGCA